rnacentral:lncRNA from 1 species
GACAUGUUGAAGUAAUAAGUAAUGUAAUAAUUUCAUACUUUUAUAUUUUAAAUAUUUAUCUUUUCUCAGCAAAGAAAAAAUAACAAGAAAGUACGGGUGACAGUAAAGCCCCACUUGCUGUACAGAGUAAGUUUCUGUCAAAGAAUUUAAAGCUGUUAUUUUUACUUUGAAAGUAUGAAAGGAACAAAAAUGUUUUCAAUAUAUAGGUAAGAUUUUUAAUUAUAAUUAACAACUUCCUUCUUUUCAGCCUUUAGAACAACAACAUGGAGUCAUUCCUGAUCGAGAUGCAGAAUUUCGUCUCUUUGACCGUGUAGUGAACGUGAGAGAGAAUUUUUCAGUUCCAGUUGGCCUUCGGGGCACCAUCAUAGGAAUUAAAGGGGCUAAUAGAGAAGCUGAUGUACUAUUUGAAGUAUUGUUUGAUGAAGAAUUUCCUGGAGGAUUAACAAUAAGGUGCUCACCUGGAAAAGGUUAUCGAUUGCCAACAAGUGCCUUAGUGAACCUUUCUCAUGGAAGUCGCUCGGAAACUGGAAAUCAGAAGUUGACAGCCAUUGUGAAACCACAGCCAGCUGUAAAUCAAUAUAGCUCAAAUUCAUCAGUUUCUCCUGGCCAUCUCGGAGGCCUCAACCAUUCCUCUCAAUCACUUUUUGUUCCUACUCAAGUAUCUACUAAAGCUGAUGAUGAAUUUUGCAACAUUUGGCAAUCCUUACAAGGGUCCAGAAAAAUUCAGCACUUUCAGCCAUCUAUACAAGAGAAGGGUCCAGUUCUACCUCAAGAAAUAAGUCAAGUAAUUCAACAGCAUAAAUCUGGCUUUUAUGACAACAGUGUUAAGUAUCAGCAAAGAAAACAUGAACCUCACCGAAAAUGUAAGUUUUAAAUUAGAAAGGUGUGUUUGUGUACUAUUUGUGUCCUUAAAAAAUUAAUAAACACCUUUAGUGAAAUAUAAUUUACAUACCAAAAAAUAAAUUCAUCCCUUUUUUUCAUAUUCACACGUUGGUUCUUUAUUUUAUUUAUUUAUUUAUUUAUUUUGAGCAUAAUUUUCUUUGAGAUCACAUUUUUCUCUUUUUAAAUAAAUUUUAUUUUAUUUUAUCUCAUUCUCCCCCUCAAGCCCCCUCUCCUAUGUACAGAGGCUUUGUUUCCAUUUUUUGCCUGCUAUUUUCAUUUUUUCUUGUCCUUCCUUCCUUUCUCCCUCCCUCCUCCUUUGUUCCCUUUCCCACUGGAACACUUUCUUCCUAUUUCCCAACAUCUACUACACAUUCAGUCCUUACUUCCACUUUCAGUUUCUCGCACCAGAGAAACAAUCUGGUAUUUAAACAUUUGUGCCCGAUUUAUUUCACUUAAGAGUAUGGUCUCAAGGUCCAGACGGACCUUGAAACCAUACUCUUAAGUGAAAUUCAUCCUUUAAAGUAGACAAUCAAAGCUGGGCAAGGUGGCCUACACCUAUAAUCCCACCACUCAAGAGGCUGAGGCAGGAGGUUCACCAAGAGUUCGUUAUCAACCUGGGCUACACAGGGAAUUCAAGACCAGCCUGAACUACAUAAUGAGACCCUGUCUCAAAAGUAUAUGAUCAGUGUUCUUUUGGUACUUUAACAAAGUGUGUGAUCAUUAGUACCACUACAUAAAUCAUUUUCAUCACCCAGAAAAGAAAUGCUUUGCCCAUUAGCAUCACUCUUGCAUGCCCUAGCAUCCCCUAAUUUUCUUUCUGUCUCUAUAGAUUCCCGUAUUCUGGACAUUUCAUAUGUGUAGAAUCAGAAACUGUAUGACCUUCUGUGGCUGUGUUCCUUCAUUUCGCAUGAUAUUUUUAAGGUUUAUUCAUGUUACAACACGUAUCAAUAAGUACUUCAUUCCUUUUUAUGCUGAAUAAUAUUCCAUUGUAUGAAUACCACAUUUUGUUUAUCCAUCACUACAAAGAAUAAUGCUGCUAUGAAUAGCUGUGUACAAUUUUUUGUGAGAACAUAUAUUUGCAGUUCUCUUGAGAAUAUGUUUAUGAGUACCAUUACUAAGUCAUAUAGUAUCGCCAUAACUUUUUAACUUUUUAUGAAAUUACCAGACCGUUUCCCAAAAUGGGUGCACUCUACUAGCAAUAUGAGGGUCCAGCCCAACUUCUCCACACUCUCCAGAGAACUUAUUAUUGCCCAUUUGUUUGAUGAUACACAUCCUCAUAGGUGUGAAGUGGAAUCUCCUUAUGAUUUUCAUUUGCAAUUCAUUAAUGACAGACAAUGUUGAGCAGAUUUUCAUGUAUUCAUUGGCUUCAGUUUAUCUUCAGAGAAAUGUAUUCAAAUCAUUGUUUCACUUUUUAUUGUACUGGUUGUCUAUUCUUAAUUUGUAAGAGUUCUUUAUGUAUUCAAAAUGCUACAUGCUUAUGAUUUGCAAAUAUUUUCUCAUUCUGUGAGUUAUUUUUUAACUUUAUAGUGUCCAUAAGUAUGAAAGUUUUUAAUUUUUAUGAGGGGAAUUUAUGGAUUUUUCAACUUUUUCUUUGGUUCCUUAUGCAUUAGCUGUCAUAUCUAAGAGAACAUUGCCUAAUACAAAGUCAUGAAUAGUUACAUUUGUAUUUUCUUCGAAGGGUUUUAUAGUUUACAGUUAGGUUUCUUUCCACUUGGAAUGAAUGUUUAUAUGUGGCACUAGAUAGGAGUGUUCAUUCUUUCAUAUUUGGAUAUCCAGUUGUCACAUUACCAUUUGUUAAAAUGGCUAUUCUUUCCCCCAUUGAAUUCUCUUAGAAUCUUCAUAAAAAGUCUCUAUAUAUUUACAGGUUUACUUGUGGGCUCUAAUUACACUGAUCUCCAUGCCUAUCCUUACAUACACAGUACACUGUCUCAGUCACUGUAGCUUUGUUGUAAACUUUUAAUUCAGGAAGUUUGAGUCCCCCAACUUUUUUUCUUUUUCAAGAUUGUUUUGUCUGGGGGCUGGGCAUUUAGUUCAGUGGUUCCACCGCCUGCCUUGCAAGCUCAAGGACUGGAGUUCAAUCCCCUAUACCAAAAAAAACCUGUUUUGUCUGUUCUAGGUACCUUGCAUUUCCAUAUAAAUUUUAGGAUCAUCUUGUCUGUUUCUGCAAAAACUGCAGCUGGAUUUUUCAUAGGGAUUUACAUUAAAUCUGUAGUUAAUUUUGGGUAGGAUUGUCAUCUUAACAAUAUUAAAUCUUUCCAGGCAUGAAAACAAGAUUUCUUUCUAUUUACUUAGGUCUUGUUUUGUUUUGAUUGUUUAACUUCCCUUGAACUCUCUAUAUAGCCCAGGCUUGCCUCAAAUUAGUGGGGAUCUGCCUGCCUCUGCCUCCCGAGUGCUGGGAUUAGGCAUUUGGCAUGCACCACCAUGCCCAGCCACUUGAGUGUUCUUUAAUUUGUUUUAGUACUGGGGUUUUGUUGUGAUUUUUUUUGGUACUGGGGAUCAAACUUGGAACCUUGUGCUUGCGAGGCAGGCACCUGAACCACUGAGCUAAAUCCCCAGCCCAAAAAUGUAUUAUUAUUAUUUUUUUGGAACCAGCGAUUGAACUCGGGUCCUUGCGCUUGCACAGCAGGCAGCAAAACCACUGAGCUAAAUCCCUGGCCCUACUGGGGUUUUUUUUCUGGGGUGUUGUUUUGUUGUGUUGUGUUUGUUUUGGUUUUUUGAGACAAGGUCUUACUAUGUAGUUUUGGCUGGCCUUGAACUCACCAUGUAGUCCAGGCUGGCCUUGAACUUGUGCUCCUCCUGUCUCAGCCUCCCAAGUGCUGGAACUAUAGGUGUGUGCCACUAUGCCUAGCUCAGAGGUGUUUUGUAGUUUUUAAUGUACAAGUUUUAUACUUCUUUUGUUAAAUUUAUUCCUAUUUUAUUUUUUGAUGCCAUUAUCAAUGGAAAUGUUUUUAAUUAUUCAUUGUUAUUUGUAAACAUAAAAUUGAAUUUUGCAUAUAUUGUUACCUUGCUGAACUUGAUUAUUAUCCCUAAUUGUGGCAUCUGCAGAUACUCUUCUUCCUGUACAGUCUGGUUGCCUUUUCUUUUCUAUCCUAAUAGCUGUGUCUAGAACCACAUCUGGUGUUGAACAGAAGUGCUGAAAACAGACAUCUUUGACUUUUCUUGACCUUAAAGAUAAAUUUUCAAUCUUUUACUGUGUUAGCUAUAGGUAUUUCAUAGAUGUCCUUUAUUAGGUGAGGAAGUUCUCAUCUAUAUUUAGUUUGUUGAUUUUUAUCUGGGAGAAGUGUUAGAUUUUAUCUUUUUUUCCUCUGGGAUUAAAAUAGGACCUCACAAAUGGUAGGCCAGCACUUUGCCACUGAUCUACAGCUACAGCCUCUCAAGUGUUAUUUCUGUAUCUAUUGAGAUGAUCUUUUAUUCAGUUUAUAUGUAUUGUGCCAUUGAUUAUAUUUCCUAUGUUGAAUCAACUUUGCAUUACUGUAAUAA